AAGCCUCUGCUAUUGUGUACAUAGUAUAUACUAAGUGACCCAUAGGUUGAGGAGGCGGUGACCGUGGCGGUGUAGGUGGAAGCAGCGGUGGAGGAGGAGGAGGAUGAGGUAGCCAACACUGUUGUUUUUUUUAUGUCUUUUUAAUUGUGGUAGCCCCCAAAAUAUUGAAUCAGUGUUCCAUUGUGUACAGGGACCCUGAGAAAUGGCUACCACAUGCAAGGAAGGCAGCAGGCGCGCAAAUGACCCACUCCCGAUGCGGGAAGGUAGUGA